GGGCUGGAAAUUUUAAACCUUGGAUAGGUGGAUGAUGACCGGAGGAAGGAAAAUGUCCUUGACCUCACCUGCUCGUCGGCGGUGGAAACCAUGAAGAUGAUGUCGCGCCCCCUCCCCUGUUUUGACGUGAGCAUUGUAGAAGAUUGAUGAACCCUCAGCGUUGUAGCUUCUCACAGAAUUUAAAUCUGAUCAGAUUAGGGUGGACGGCUGGGAUUCCUCCAGAUCUUGAUCUAUGGUCCUGAUCUACCCUCUCUUUGACUUGGAUGGACCGGGUCAUGAUAAAUGGCUUAGAUCUCCUCAAGUCUUCGAUGGACGAUCCAGAUUACUCCAGAGCUUGAUCUCUUCAUUUAAGCUCAGAUUUGAGCUCAAUCUGGGUUGAUCAACUCGAGUCCUUGCCCUUUGAUGCCUACAAAGAUCAUAUUCGAAUAUUAGCGUCAAAUAUCGUAAUUAUAAGACAAUUUACAAUUAAGUCCAAAAAUGACUAACUCAUGAGACAUGAUGUCAACAUGACUUUAACACAUGAGAAGAUCACAAAAGCAUGUCUAUCAAAUGUCGUAACAAAAUAAUGGUUAUCUGGUAAGAGAGGAGUCUGGGAAGUAUGUGAGAACGCUCUUAUAUGAGAUAUGUCAGAUGAUCGUCGGUGUUUUAUUGUACUUUUGCUCUUAUAUUACAGAUUGUAUUUUCUCUCCACCAAACAGGCUUAGGCGCAACCACAAUAUAUUUCUCAUAUUCCUUCCUUGCAUAUUGGGCUUUUCUUUCAUGGGAGACCUAUAUUUAACCAUAUGGCUUCAAGGUUGAGUGAUGUGUAUACUAGGAGCACUCAAAUUUCAAGGGCUGAUUUGGGGUGUCAGACUAUGGCAUUUCUGUUCCAGGUUUAUGUUGUUGGGUGACUGUCUUUUGGUAGGGUUGAGUUUAGACAAAAAGUGGUGCUAAAGUGGCUUUCAAUCUCAAAAGUGGUACCAUAACACUUGUGGCUCCUCCAUCCUUCAGUUGAAAGGUCCUUAUCAGUCAAUAAUUGUAGCUGUUGGUAUGUUGCUUUAUCCAACUUUCACUCUUCAAAUUCGUCUUGUGUUAGGUACUCCUCUCAUUUUGCUUGGGUUGGUGACGAAUCAGAAUUGUCAACUGAGAAAAGUUGGUGAAAGGUAGUUCAAGCCUUGAAUUGAGUUCUCGAAAUGGAGCUUACAUGAAGAUGAUGGUUUUCAGUUUGUGUUCAGAAAUCAGAAUGAGAGAUACAUUUUUCUCCCCUUUUUUUUUCUUCUUGUAGUCCAGUAGGCAUGUUCUCUUACAAAUAUGAAAUUUGUAUUUCAUUCAAUAUGCCUUAUAGUUGUUUUUUUUGUUAUGUAGAAAUUGAAAGUUCUUUAAAUGGAUUUUGUUUUAAUUGUUCAUUUGAUAACCAAAUGCCACCAAAUA